CAAAAUUUGCUUUUUUAGUAUUUGUCUAGAAGGUUUCCUUUAAAAGGAAGUCCAU
rnacentral:snRNA from 12 species